UGUGGGUUAUGUUGAGCUUCACGGCCCUCAUGUUCUGCAUAUUCGUCCCCCUUGGGUGUACUUACCUGCUGGUAGGUUAACAUCAAUUUCGGUCGUCAUAAAAUGACGGGAGGAAUGUAGCUUCGAUCUCGGUUGAAGUGUUAUAGCCUCUGGUAGAUGUGAUGAUCGGGAUUGAGGAUUGCAACGGAUACCCUUUGGGCUACCCGCCUGAUCUCUGAUGGUUACUCUGGUGCCGAAAGCGUGCUUACGGUCAUCAAAGUUAAUGGUCAAAAGGUUAGAACGGGUUAAA
rnacentral:rRNA from 1 species